AUUAACUGAAUCCAUAGGUUAAUGAGGCGAACCGGGGGAACUGAAACAUCUAAGUACCCCGAGGAAAAGAAAUCAACCGAGAUUCCCCCAGUAGCGGCGAGCGAACGGGGAGGAGCCCAGAGCCUGAAUCAGUGUGUGUGUUAGUGGAAGCGUCUGGAAAGGCGCGCGAUACAGGGUGACAGCCCCGUACACAAAAAUGCACAUACUGUGAGCUCGAUGAGUAGGGCGGGACACGUGGUA
rnacentral:rRNA from 1 species